rnacentral:rRNA from 1 species
AUUGAACGCUCGCGGGAUGCUUUACACAUGCAAGUCGAACGGCAGCGCGGACUUCGGUCUGGCGGCGAGUGGCGAACGGGUGAGUAAUGUAUCGGAACGUGCCCAGUAGCGGGGGAUAACUACGCGAAAGCGUAGCUAAUACCGCAUACGCCCUACGGGGGAAAGCAGGGGAUCGUAAGACCUUGCACUAUUGGAGCGGCCGAUAUCGGAUUAGCUAGUUGGUGAGGUAACGGCUCACCAAGGCGACGAUCCGUAGCUGGUUUGAGAGGACGACCAGCCACACUGGGACUGAGACACGGCCCAGACUCCUACGGGAGGCAGCAGUGGGGAAUUUUGGACAAUGGGGGCAACCCUGAUCCAGCCAUCCCGCGUGUGCGAUGAAGGCCUUCGGGUUGUAAAGCACUUUUGGCAGGAAAGAAACGUCGCGGGCUAAUACCCCGUGGAACUGACGGUACCUGCAGAAUAAGCACCGGCUAACUACGU